AUUGAACGCUGGCGGCAUGCCUUACACAUGCAAGUCGAACGGCAGCAUGAUCUAGCUUGCUAGAUUGAUGGCGAGUGGCGAACGGGUGAGUAAUACAUCGGAACGUGCCCUGUAGUGGGGGAUAACUAGUCGAAAGAUUAGCUAAUACCGCAUACGACCUGAGGGUGAAAGUGGGGGACCGCAAGGCCUCAUGCUAUAGGAGCGGCCGAUGUCUGAUUAGCUAGUUGGUGGGGUAAAGGCCCGCCAAGGCGACGAUCAGUAACUGGUCUGAGAGGACGAUCAGCCACACUGGGACUGAGACACGGCCCAGACUCCUACGGGAGGCAGCAGUGGGGAAUUUUGGACAAUGGGGGCAACCCUGAUCCAGCAAUGCCGCGUGUGUGAAGAAGGCCUUCGGGUUGUAAAGCAGUUUUGUCCGGAAAGAAAUCGCACUUACUAAUAUUAGGUGUGGAUGACGGUACCGGAAGAAUAAGGACCGGCUAACUACGUGCCAGCCGCCGCGGUAA
rnacentral:rRNA from 1 species